rnacentral:rRNA from 1 species
UAGGGAAUCUUCCACAAUGGACGCAAGUCUGAUGGAGCAACGCCGCGUGAGUGAAGAAGGUUUUCGGAUCGUAAAGCUCUGUUGUUGGUGAAGUAGGAUAGAGGCAGUAACUGGUCUUUAUUUGACGGUAAUCAACCAGAAAGUCACGGCUAACUACGUGCCAGCAGCCGCGGUAAUACGUAGGGGGCAAGCGUUGUCCGGAUUUAUUGGGCGUAAAGCGAGCGCAGGCGGAAUGAUAAGGCUAAUGUCAAAGCCAACGGCUCAACCGUGGAACUGCAUCGGAAACUGACAUUCUUGAGUGCAGAAAAGGAGAGGGGAAGUCCAUGUGUAGCGGUAGAAGGCGUAGAUAUAUGGAAGAACACCAGUGGCGAAGGCGGCUCUCUGGUCUGCAACUGACGCUGAGGCUCGAAAGCAUGGGUAGCGAACAGG